GGGGGGCAAGCGUUAAUGGAAUUCUGGGGUAAAGCGGGUAGUGGUUUGAUAAGCGAAUGGAAAGCCCCGGGUUAACCGGGACGGCUUUCGAACUGUCAGGUAGAUAUGGUAGAGGGUAGUGGAAUUUCCUGUGUAGCGGUGAAAUGGUAGAUAUAGGAAGGACCCAGUGGGAAGGCGGUACCUGGACCAAUACUGACACUGAGGUGCGAAAGCGUGGGGAGCAAACAGGAUUAGAUCCCUGGUAGUCCACCCGUAAACGAUGUUAUAGCCGUUGGGACUCUUGAAUUUAGUGGCGCAGCUACGCAUAAGUACCGCCUGGGAGUCGCCGCAAGUAAACUCAAAGAUUGACGGGGCCGCACAGCGUGGAGCAUGUGGUUUAAUUCGAUGCAACGCGAAGAACCUUACCAGCCCUUGACAUCCUGCGAACUUUCUAAAUAAUGGUGCCUUCGGAACCAAACAGGGCUGCAUGGCUGUCGUCACUCGUGUCGUGAAUGUUGGGUAAGUCCCGUAACGAGCGCAACCCUUGCCCUUAUUGCCACCAAUGGGGGAACCUAGGGGGACUGCCGGUGAUAAACCGAGGAAGGGGGGAUACUCAAGUCAUCUGGCCCUUUGGGCGGGCUACACCUGCUACAAUGGCCGGACAAGGGCCCAACCCCGAGGGGGACAAAUUCCAAAACC
rnacentral:rRNA from 1 species